UACGUAGGGUGCAAGCGUUAAUCGGAAUUACUGGGCGUAAAGCGUGCGCAGGCGGUUUUUUAAGACAGAGGUGAAAUCCCCGGGCUCAACCUGGGAACUGCAUUUGUGACUGUAGAGCUGGAGUACGGUAGAGGGGGAUGGAAUUCCGCGUGUAGCAGUGAAAUGCGUAGAUAUGCGGAGGAACACCGAUGGCGAAGGCAAUCCCCUGGACCUGUACUGACGCUCAUGCACGAAAGCGUGGGGAGCAAACAGG
rnacentral:rRNA from 1 species